rnacentral:rRNA from 1 species
UACGGGGGGAGCAAGCGUUGUUCGGAUUUACUGGGCGUAAAGGGCGCGUAGGCGGCCAGCGCAAGUCAGUUGUGAAAUCUCCGGGCUUAACUCGGAACGGUCAACUGAUACUGCGCGGCUAGAGUGCAGAAGGGGCAACUGGAAUUCUCGGUGUAGCGGUGAAAUGCGUAGAUAUCGAGAGGAACACCUGCGGCGAAGGCGGGUUGCUGGGCUGACACUGACGCUCAUGCACGAAAGCGUGGGGAGCAAACAGG